rnacentral:rRNA from 1 species
UUAAGGGCGUACGGUGGAUGCCUUGACUUUAAGAGGCGAUGAAGGACGUGGCGUUGCUGCGAUAAGCUUCGGGGAGACGCAAAGCAGUCUUUGAUCCGGAGAUUUCCGAAUGGGGAAACCCUGUAGAGUAAACCUCUACAACCUUGAGCUUUAUGUUCAAGGAGCAUACCCUGGGAAGUGAAACAUCUCAGUACCAGGAGGAGUAGAGAACAAUAGUUAUUUCCUAAGUAGCGGCGAGCGAAAAGGAAGAAGCCCAAACUCGAGUAGCAAUACUCGGGGGUUGUAAGGUAACAAUUUUUAUUUAUUUAAAGAAGAGUCAAAAAAUAAAUUAUUAGCUUAAGUUCUUGGAAAAGGGCACCAUAGAGGGUGAUAGUCCCGUCUGCGAAAAUAAUUUAUCUCUUUUAUUGUUAUUCUUGAGUACCCCAGGACAUGAAUGGCCGGGGGGAAUCCAGCUCGAUAGUGAACUAGUACCGUGAGGGAAAGGUGAAAAGCAGCCCGAUUAGGGCGGUGAAAUAGACCUGAAACCGUAUGUCUACAAGGAGUCGAACUCCGUCUUCGGAUGGAGAACGGCGUGCCUAUUGAAGAAUGAGCCAACGAGUUUAUGCAUACUGCUAGGUUAAGUUGACUAAAACAACAAAGCCGAAGGGAAACCGAGUGUUAAUAGCGCGACUGUAUAUUUAUUUAUACGGGUAGAAUGCAUAAGACCCGAAGCCAGGUGAGCUUGCCAUGAGCAGGAUGAAGUAGGUCGAAAGACUUAUGGAGGUCCGAACGGGUAGAUCGUACAACGUCUUCCGAUGACUUGUGGUAAGGAGUGAAUAGCUUUAGGGCUAGCGUCGUGUGUUUCUUUUGGGGGUAGAGCACUGGAAGGUUUCGACAGGGAGCAAUCUCGCGAAACCUAUCAAACUCCGAAUACUAGAAGUAAGAACACGGCAGUUAGGCCAUGGGGGCGAAGCUCCAUUGGCCAAAAGGGAAACAGCCCGGAUCUCUAAAUAAGGUCCCUAAAUAUAUACUAAGUGUAAGACAAGAAGGUGAAGUUUCUCAAACAAUGAGGAGGUUGGCUUAGAAGCAGCCACCCUUUAAAGAUAGCGUAACAGCUCACUCAUCUAGAGAUUUUGCGUCGAAAAUAAUUGGGGCUAAGUAUAUUACCGAAUUUGAGGAUUUUAAUCCCCUUAGGGGGCCUAAAGUGGUAGGAGAGUGUUCCAAUCCGCAGUGAAGGAGGACCCGUGAGGGCCUCUGGAGCGUUUGGAAGUAAGAACGCAUCACGUCGAAAGAUCAAGGUUUCCUUGGUAAUGUCAAUCAGCCAAGGGUUAGUCGGGCCUAAGGGAAUGGCGAAAGCCGUACUCGAUGGACAGCGGGUUAAUAUUCCCGCACUUCUGUAUUUUGUGAUGGGAUGACGGAGUGUAGUAUGUAUCGCUCAUUAUUGGAUUUGAAGUUUGUGUAUUUAGGAUGAUGUGUAGGAAAAUCCGCACGCUGCCUUUAAUGGCGAAUCCAAGAUAUAUGAAAAAUUUUAUUCUUCGGGAUAGGACAAUGAUACAAAGCACGCUUCCAAGAAAAAUCUCCUAAACUUAUGAAUAUAGAAUCCGUACCGCAAACCGACACAGGUGAUCAGGUCGAGUAGACCAAGACGAACGAGUGAGUGGUCCCCAAGGAACUCGGCAAAAAA